GUGAUGUGAACCAACACAAAACAAAGCAGAAAACAUGCUCUGAUAUCCUGUCUGGUAUUUAGGAUCUUUUCUCCUUCCCCAAUCCCAAUAUCACCAUUUAUCUCUCCCCCUCUCNNNNNNNNNNNNNGAUCUCCUUCCUCCUUAGCUUUCCCUGGAAGCACCCUCUUCAAUUCAUUCCAUAAAGCCGCCAACUUUUUUGUUUCUACCCUUUUGAAUAUCUAUAUAAUUUCUGGCCUCUCUGUGUGUUUGAGCUUAAGGGGUUACCGAAUCUGCC
rnacentral:misc_RNA from 1 species